rnacentral:rRNA from 1 species
UACGUAGGGGGCGAGCGUUGUCCGGAAUCAUUGGGCGUAAAGAGCGCGCAGGCGGUCGUCCAAGUCGAAUGUGAAAGCCCCCGGCUCAACUGGGGAGGGUCAUUCGAUACUGUUCGACUCGAAGGCAGGAGAGGGAAGUGGAAUUCCGGGUGUAGUGGUGAAAUGCGUAGAUAUCCGGAGGAACACCAGUGGCGAAGGCGACUUUCUGGCCUGUUCUUGACGCUGAGGCGCGAAAGCUAGGGGAGCAAACGGG